rnacentral:rRNA from 1 species
UACAGAGGGUGCGAGCGUUGUCCGGAAUCACUGGGCGUAAAGGGCGCGUAGGCGGCUUGAUAAGCGUGCGGUGAAAGCCCGGGGCUCAACCCCGGGUCGGCCGUGCGAACUGUCGAGCUGGAGCACUGUAGAGGCAGGUGGAAUUCCGGGUGUAGCGGUGGAAUGCGUUAGAGAUCCGGAAGAACACCGGUGGCGAAGGCGGCCUGCUGGGCAGUGGCUGACGCUGAGGCGCGACAGCGUGGGGAGCAAACAGG